AUGCGAGUGGUCAACAAUUUCUGGGAUUUCUAUAUAUGCGUUGAGGGUCAGAAGGAUCGUGCAAAUGUGGUGGUUGAGAAUAUUGCCAAGAAACUAGUCCAUGACAUGCACUAUGAGGAGCGCGUCCGGUUAGUGGUCAAGUAUCAUGCGGACUAUCUCAACCAUAGGAUUUCCAAACAGGAGGCUCGAGGGACGCAUCUUUCACGGGAAAAUUACUUCAAGGCAAGCUGGGAGAAGAUCGUCGAACGGUGGACAGAUCCAGGGUGGUAG
rnacentral:rRNA from 1 species